ensembl:lncRNA
GUGAGUGAUUGAUUGAAAGGAAGGAAUUCAAAUAAAGGAGAAAAGCAAAGAGAGAAAGAGAGAAAUGGAGGAAGAGAGGAUAGGCAUCAGCUUUGAUGAUUACUGUCUCCGGCAGGAGAGCUAAUAUUAGCCUACAGAGUAAACAAAACUACGGACUGCGCAGAUACUGUAAUCAAAAGUCUGACUUCCGGAGAAUCGGGGCCAAUUACAGCUCGGAGAGACAGAAAUACAAAUAAGGGAGGUAGAGAGAGAGAGAGAGAGAGAGAGAGAGAGAGAGAGAGAGAGAGAGAGAGAGAGAGACAGAGACAGAGAGAGAGACAGUGAGGGAGAGACAGAAACACAAAUAAGGGAGGGAGGUCGAGAGGGAGAGAGAGAGAGAGAGAGAGAGAGAGACAGUGAGGGAGAGACAGAAACACAAAUAAGGGAGGUCGAGAGGGAGAGAGACAGAGAGAGAGACAGUGAGGGAGAGACAGAGACAGGCCUUUAAUUUAAAAAACUGUAAUACUCAGGCUGAUACAGGACUUAAGAGGUCACGCUAAUGACAGGAGAAGCUCUAAUGGAGACCGGCGCACGAAAGCCAGUGAUUGGCAAGUGACAGCAUCGAGUGACAGCUGAAACAGCCAGACUCGGUGGCACCUAGAAAUACACGAACACUCAAUGACUCACGCUUGCUAAUUCACGGCCGUAAAUGUGCUUUUAACCAACACAACUUAAACAGAAGAACAAAAAGACAUGCGCCGUCCUCCGUGCAUUACUCAGGCCCGCGUCCUAAUCAGCAUUCCACAUCUCUGAAACAAAGCUUUGCACGUAAUUUAUUGACUGUGCUGGACAAAGAGAUUGAUUCCGGAGUGCUCAUGGGAGUGCGUGAGGUUGUGUAAUGAUAAGUUAUAAAGCACGCAAUGCAUUCAGCUAAAAAUCAUGAGGCUUCGAUGUGCUGACAGAGUGACAGACGACGUGACGUCUCUGGAUCGCUCGACUUCCUUCCCUACGUACCGUAAACAGAAAGAAAGAAACAUCCAUGGUGGGAAGCCGUGAAACAUGUGACCACACUGUAGGCUCGGAGGAACUUCACACAUGACCUUUUGGUUUCAUGGGAUAUGUGAUCUUUUGCUUCUGUGGGAUAUUAUGUGAACAAUAUUUACAUUACAGUUACACAUUACAAAACUAGAUUGAAGCGAGUCUCACAGUAAGACUUUGUGUGGAACACUGAUUCGGGCUGAGGCCAACAUGGUGAUAAAUGAUCUAGUGGUUAAUUAAUUAUAGUUCUAGGCCUAAGUAAUUAUUCAUUCUGAUUUAUUAACUCUGAGGUAAAAGUAACUGUAAACAGUGCAAUUCCUUCUGUAAUGUGCAUGCUUUUUUUUAUUUUAUUGCAUUUGGG